GCCGUUCUAGCCACCAUUCGACUGUAAAAUGAAGGAGACGACUGCUGCGCUGAUGGACAGAACGAGCAGAACUCCUCCCUCGUGCACGCAAGCUCUUUUCAAAAGUCAUUAAGUCAGUGACAAACGGCUGGAAAGCUGCUGCUCUGAGCCCUUUCCUCUGUUUAGAAAGAAAAACUCCUGUCCUUGGUAAUGAGCGGGCUAAUUCAUCAUGUGUCAGUGAACUGGUUCCUCACCACAAGGUGCAGGCAGGUUCGUCUCCUUGUCGGCCCCGGUGGAGUAUGCUGAUAUGACAGUUUGCUCAUCUUUCAACUUUUAACCCAUUUAAAACAACAAAGCAGGGACUGAAAUGAAUUAAUCUGGAUUCAUAAUUGAACACAAUGAGACACCACCCAGAGGCCUGGAAGAGAAAACUAAAUGUGAAGGCUGUUGUGACAGUUUGCACCAAAUGCAGCGAAAACAAAAUAUCAACAGCAAAAUGUUCCAAAUUAAAUAAUGACAACAGUUCCAGUAGUUCCAGUACAUCCAUUGUGUGAAGGCAAUUGUGUGAACGAAUCUGUGAUAAUGCUCGACACCAUGUUUGCAGACAAAGAAGGGACAGAGGAGCCUGUGACAUUUCAAAAACUUAUAGGACCAAGUGGCCUGACAGAAUUCCUGCUCUGUCCAGCGAAAUCCCAGAGAGGGGGUUGGUUAUAUUGGUCAGACCCAUCCCAGUUCACUCUUCCCAUCCUGUGCUUCAGCUCUUCCUGCACAGGCUCCAUCGACCUGUCACAGACAUCAGUGAGAUUGACUGCAGGGGCAGAUGCGCAGUUUUAACAGGCCACCUCUUGGUUAUGGGCACAGUGCAGGGAAAUCUGAGAGAGUGGUGCCCUAUGGAGUUACUUGCAAGCAUGGACAGAUCAUCACCCCCCUCCACCGCCGAUCAAUGCCAGACUCAUCGUCCGCCUGUCAUUGGCUCUGCAGUGGAGGGUUACUGCAGGAGAUGGACAAAUUAGCCCACACCUCCAUUCCUGAGCGGGGCUAUUGUAUAUCGCUGCAGUCUGUUCAUGGAGUGGAGGGACCUGCACAACGGGCCAAACUUUGUUGCCGAGUCUCUCUCGCUCCAUUUUAAAGCUCAAUUUCAAUCUGUGAGUGUAUACCGGCUUUAAUUUUCUUUAAUUAAACCUUCAUAUCAAAGUAGAUAUUUGGGUCUGAUGAUAUUGAAUACAGUUCAAAUAAUAGACUUGGAUGUUUUUACACUGUUCAUGAGCAUCACAGUUUUUGGUUUGGGUUUGGAAAGAUGUUUUUAAUGUUUUUGAACCACGUCGCUAAUGCUCGCCAAAGUUAUAUUUAUUAUAUAGUUUUUAUAUAUAUAAAUAUUUUAAAAUCUCAUUUAUUCUUAUGAUGGCCAAGCUGAAUUUUCAGCAUCAUUGCUCCAGUCUUUAGUAUCAC